rnacentral:rRNA from 1 species
UACGAAGGGGGCUAGCGUUGCUCGGAAUGACUGGGCGUAAAGGGCGCGUAGGCGGAUGGCACAGUCAGAUGUGAAAUUCCCGGGCUUAACCUGGGGGCUGCAUUUGAUAUGUGUUGUCUAGAGUGAGGAAGAGGGUUGUGGAAUUCCCAGUGUAGAGGUGAAAUUCGUAGAUAUUGGGAAGAACACCGGUGGCGAAGGCGGCAACCUGGUCCUUGACUGACGCUGAGGCGCGAAAGCUAGGGGAGCAAACAGG